UCUGUUGAUUGCGGCCCGCUCUUCAUCUGAAUUGGACAGUAUCGGGCUGAAUCUCUCCUCCAGGAUUGUGAGCCCCUUGUUAAGACGAUUUUGCGCCGCCCUGUAGUUUCGUCUGGCUUCGAUGGUGCGGGUCGCCAGCCAGAUCCUCUUGCACUGCUGUUUGAUGGAAAGCAGCUCGCUUGUAGCCUCGUCCAGCUUAAGGUGAUGGUGCCGGUGAUGUUGCUGUGACCGCUGCUGAUGUUGAUGCUGACGCUGCUGUGGCCAUCUUCGAUGUGUGCUUGGGUGCUGCUGUUGAUGUUGUGUUGAUGCUGCUGCUGCUGCUACCCGUAUAUUGUUCAAAAACAAGUCAACGACGUCAUCAAUGUCCUGCGCUAUUCUAAUCUCGGUGUUGAGAUUGAUCAACCGUUCCAGCGACUUUUGGAACAGGCUGAUAUUGGCACGUGCUGGGAGCAGAUGUUUCCUGACUGUGGGCGUAGGAUGUCUACGUCCACCGCUGCCGAUCGUCAACUCCACCCUGAGCAGCAAGUGAUCAGAGUCCAAAUCCGAGCUUGAACGGAUACUCAGGGAUAGUGUGUGGCACCACCGGUGGCCAGCAAAUUGCAGCCGUUGUUGGUGUGUACAGCCUCCAUCAGUGCUUUCCCUCUGGCGCAUCCACGGACAUUUCCCCACCACAUAUGCUUCGCGUUCCAGU